rnacentral:rRNA from 1 species
AGUCCGAGCAUUAAUUUUAUUUCUUUAUUACAGUUAUACGAGAGUAACUCGCUUUGCGAGGAACAGAUAUUUAUAAUUGAGAGAUAAAAUUAGUGCUCGGUAAAGAUUUAUCGCUCUUGGAACGGCCUGCGGAGUAUCAGCUUGUUGGUAGUGUAAUGGACUACCAAGGCUAUGACGCUUAGGGGAGGUGAGAGCCUGACCCCCACCGAUGGAACUGAGACACGGUCCAU